GUCUCAAAGAUUAAGCCAUGCAUGUCUAAGUAUAAGCACUUGUACUGUGAAACUGCGAAUGGCUCAUUAAAUCAGUUAUCGUUUAUUUGAUUGUACUUUACUACAUGGAUACCUGUGGUAAUUCUAGAGCUAAUACAUGCGAAAAAUCCCGACUUCUGGAAGGGAUGUAUUUAUUAGAUUAAAAACCAAUGCGAGUCUUCGGUCUCGUUUUCUUGGUGAUUCAUGAUAACUUUUCGAAUCGCAUGGCCUAGCGCCGGCGAUAUUUCAUUCAAAUUUCUGCCCUAUCAACUGUCGAUGGUAAGGUAGUGGCUUACCAUGGUUAUAACGGGUGACGGAGAAUUAGGGUUCGAUUCCGGAGAGGGAGCCUGAGAAACGGCUACCACAUCUAAGGAAGGCAGCAGGCUCGAAAAUUACCCAAUCCCAAUUCGGGGAGGUAGUGACAAGAAAUAACGAUACGGGGUCUUAAUAGGUCUCGCAAUUGGAAUGAGUACAAUUUAAAUCCUUUAACGAGGAUCAUUGGAGGGCAAGUCUGGUG
rnacentral:rRNA from 1 species